AGCCCGAUUGUAAUUCAAUAAAUCCUGCUGAAUUUGGACCGAAUGUUGUGAAUACUCGACCUGGGACGCUUCUGGCGACAACUUCACUCGACUAAACUCACAAUCUGUGCAAUCUUAGUACCCAAAUUGGAGCCGUAUCAUUCUCGUCGGUGAGUUGAAAGAGAAAUUUUGCAAGGAACUACACGAAGUAGUCCUGAGCAUCUUGGACAGAGAGAGAGUUGUGAUUGGUGCAGUUUUCAAUGUACAUGUUGGCGAAGGAACCAGGGGCGAUGAAAAAGUGAUGGGUUAGUAUGGAACACAGCAAAGGAACUUUGAGGGUGGACUUUGCAAAAAGGAUGGAAUUGGCAAUGUUGAACACAUAUUUCCAGAAAAGACAGGAACAUAGAGUCACCUACAAGAGCGGAGGUAGAAGCACACAGGUUGAUUAUAUUUUGUGCAGAUGAUGUAAUCUGAAGGAGGUUACUGACUGUAAAGUGGUGGUGGCGGGGGAGAGUGUGGCUUGACAGCGUAGGAUGACUCGGUUAGUGGGUAGGAAGAUUACGAAAACAAAGGUAGGGCAGAGAAUCAGGUGGUGGAAGUUGAGAAAAGAAUGUUGCGUGGCCUUUCGAAAAGAGGUGAGACAGGCUCUAGUUGGUCAGAAAGAGCUCCCAGUAAACUGAAAUACUCCUGCCAAGGUAUUCAGAGAAGCAAGAGAGUACUUUGGGUGUCUUCUGGUAAGAAAGGGGAGAAGGAGACCUUGUGGUGGAACCCCAAAAUACAGAAAGUCAUCCAAGGAAAGAGAUUAGUGAAGAAGAAGUGGGACAUGGAGAGGAUUGAGGAAAGGCAUGAGGAAUACAUUGAGAUGCAUCAUAGGGCAUCGAUACAGGUGGCGAAGGCUAAACAAGUGGCUUAUGAUGACAUGUACUCCAGCUUGGAUACAAAAGAAGGAGAAAAGGAGCUCUACAGGUAAGGGAUACAGGUGGGAAGGAUGUGCAGCCAAUGAAGUGGAUUAAGGAUAGCGAUGGAAAUGUUGACUCGUGCCAGUAGUGUGCUAAGUAGAAGGAAAGAAUACUUUGAGAAGUUAAUGUUGAAGAAAAUGGGAGAGAAGGUAGAGUAGAAGUGAAUGAGCUGGAAAUGGCAAUGAUUAGUAAGGGAGAAGUUAAAAAGGCACUGAACAGAAUGAAAAAUGGAGACAGUUGGACCUGAUGAUAUACCAGUGGAGGUAUGGAACCAAUUAGGUAAGGUGGCUGUGGAGUUUUUGACCAGCUUAUUUAAUAGAAUACUAGCGGGAGAGAAGAUGCCAUAAGAAUAGAGAAGUGUGCUAGUCCCCAAUUUGAAAAACAAAGACAAUGUUCAGAACUGUAGAAACCAAAGAAAAAUAAAGAUGAUGAGCCACACAAUGAAUUUAUGGGAAAGAGUAGUGGAGGUUAGACUCAGGAUGGAAGUAUGUAUCUGCAAGCAACAGUAUGGGUUCAUGCCUUGAAAGAGUACCACAGAUCCAUUAUUUGCCUUGAGGAUGCUCGUGAAAAAGUACAGAGAAGGUCAGAAGGAGCUACAUUGUAUCUUUGUCAACCUAGACAAAGCCUAUGGCAGAGUACCAUGAGUGGAACUGUGGUACUCCAUGCGGAAGUCUGGUGUGGCGGAAAAAUAUGUUAGAAUAAUACAGGACAUGUAUGAGGGGAGCAGAACAGCGGUGAGAUGUGCCGUAGGUGUGUCAGAAGAAUUCAAGGUGGAGGUGGGACUGCAUCAGGGUUCCGCGCUGAGCGCCUUCCUGUUUGCGGUUUUUAUCGUUAGGCUGACCGACGGUGUUAGACUGGAAUCCCCUUGGAACAUGAUGUUCACAGAUGAUAUGAUCUGCAGUGAAAGCAGGGAGCAGACGGAGGAACAAUUAGAAAGAUGGAGGUACGCACUGGAAAGGAGAGGAAUGAAAAUUAGCUCAAGUAAAACAGAAUAUAUGUGCGUGAAUGAAAGGGGUGGAGGAGAAAGAAUGAAGGUGCAGGGAGAAGAGAUGGCGAAGGUGGAUGAUUUCAAAUACUUGGGGUCAACUAAACAGAGCAAUGGUGAGUGUGGUAAGUAAGUGAAGAAACGGUUCCUAGUGGGAUGGAACAGUUGGUGGAAGGUGUCUAGUGUUCUAUGUGACAGAAUAGUAUCUGCUAGGAUGAAGGGAAAAGUUAUAAAACACUGGUGUGGCCAGCCAUGAUGUACGGAUUAGAGACUGUGGCACUGAAGAAGCAACAGGAAGCAGGACUUGAGGUGGCAGAAAUGAAGAUGUUGAGGUUCGCGCUCGGAGUGAGCAGGUUGGAUCGGAUUAGAAAUGAGCUCAUUGGAGGGACAGCCAAAGUUGGAUGUUUUGGAGACAAGAUUCGAGAGAGCAGACUUCGAUGGUUUGGACAUGUUCAGAGGCAAGAGAGUGAGCAUAUUGGUAGAAGGAUGCUGAGGAUGGAGCUCCCAGGCAAAAGAGCGAGAGGAAGACCAAAGAGAAGCUUUAUGGAUGUGGUGAGGGAGAACAUGAGGACAGCGGGUUUUAGAGAGGAGGAUGCACCGGAUAGACUUGGAUGGAAAAAGAUGCCAUGCUGUGGUGACCCCUAACGGGACAAGUCGGAAGAAGAAGAAGAAUAUUUUUUUUUGGGACACCUUGUAUUAAGGCAAAAAAAAUUGCUAACCUUUCUGACCCUCUGAAAAAGUAAUUCCACCUCUGUGUUCCAUCACAAAGUCACUGUGACAAACCACAAAUUUGAGAAAGGUGAGUUCAAUUUCACAAGCCACACCCAAACCUGAUGACCACCAUAUGUUGUUGAAUCAAGAAAUCACUUAAAUAAAAUCUGCCAGAGUAGGUGAAGUGGGCUACAAGAUCUCAAGAACCAAUGCAUCAUGCCACGAUCUAAAGAAAUUAAAAAAGACAUGAGAAAAAAAGUGACUGAUAUCCAUCACUCUGGAAAAGGUUACAAAGCCAUUUCAGCGGCUUUGAGGAUCCAGUGAACCACUGUUCGAGCCAUUAUCCACAAAUGGAGAAAACUGGGAACAGUGGCAAACUUUCCCAGGAGUGGAAGACCAACUAAGGUAACUGAAACGACGACUCAUCCAGGACCUGACCAAAAAAAAAAAAAAAAAAAACUUUGAACUUUUAAAUACUUGCAGAACUCCCUGGCCUCAGUUAAGGUCAGUGUUUAUGACUCUCCCAUAAGGAAUACACUGGCCAAAAAUGGCAUCCAUGGGAGAGUUCCCAGGCGAAAACCCCUCCUGUCAGCAAAGUAUACAAAGCCUCAUCUCACAUUUAACCAAAAAACUUAUUGAUGAUCCUCAACACCAUUCUAUAGGCAAGUCAAAAAUUGCACUUUUUAGAAGGUGUGCGACCUGUUACAUCUAGUGUAAAAAUGGCAAUUCAGGACCAGGACAAUUUGUGAUUGAUUGGAACAAUGAAUUCUGCACUGUACCAAAAAAUCCUGAGGGAGAACGUCCGGUCAUCGGGUUCGUGCCCUUAAACUCAAAGCGCUCCUUGACCACGCAGUACGACAGUUAUCCGUAGCACACCAGCAAGUCCACGUCUGAAUGCCCCCCCACCCCCAAAAAAAGGGGGGGUAGUGGCCAAGUCAAAGUCGCAUUUUGGUGGCUGAAUUUUCUGUGCAUCACUAUUGAUUAUACAACAUUUUAAAUAUAUUAGUAGAUGAUAACAUACAACUUUGCUUCUUUUUUUAUUACUACUUAAUUCAGUUUCUACACAGUCCUUUGAGAAACAGCUCAAGUUACAACCCCAGGUCAAGCUAAAUUAAACCUUCACCUUGACAAAGUUUCUCUCGUCCGACUGAUUGAUUUCGCCCCUGAAGUGAACUUUGAAGAUGGGCCUUCAUUUCAAAGCACCUAUUCUUAUUUCAUGUUUUCUUGCUUUCCGUGUAUACAAUUUUAUCUACAGCAGAUUACCUAAUAUCAUAUUGUGUGUAAACCAGCUUUGUCUAACAGUCUGUGAGGCAAAUAAAUAUGGCUAAAUUGAACAUAAUCAUCUGCGGGCACAACAUUGACUCAAAGAUUUUUAAAAAGAUACUCCCGUGACCCUUUGGAAAAUAAAUGGCUCAGAUAAUGGCUGGACGGAUGGAUGACUGGAUGAGUAACAGUAAGAGGUUGUCUAGCUUCUCUUUCCAUGUUGGACCCUGCAUUAUGAUUCUUCCUCUCGACGAUGAGACUUUUUAGCCAGCAAAGGCUGGUUCGGAAAUUUGUCAUGUCUCUGUAUGGCGCUGCUCGUCAAUAUGUGGAGGAAAUGUUUCCUAGAUGACGGUCUUAUAUUUUUAGCAUGGAUGAAAAAGGGCUUUUUUUGGAGGAGAACAGCUACGUGUACUUUUUCAAAGACUGUUUAUUAUCAUCAUGUUUCAAUACUGCAAGUAAGUGAGUGAGUGAGUGAGUGAGUGAGUGAGUGAGAGACAGAGAGACAGAGACAGACUGACUCACUCUGCAGGCAUGUGGAAACACAGGGCGAGCAGUUCCUAGUGUGUAUGUGGGUGACCAGAUCGGAAUAGUGUUUAAGAGAGGACACGUUGAUUGUAAGUGCUUAAAGUAUCUAAUAAAGCCUUCCAAGGAGCAAACCCUUUGGAUUUCCCAACCACAGUCAGGUGACUGUUGCGGGAAACAUUAACAAAGGUUUUAUAAUUAGAGUUAAGUAAAUAUGUGCACUGUUGUAAUCUUAGUUUCAAAUAUGUAAAGUAUAAAUAUCCAUCCAUUUUCUUAGCUGCUUAUCCUCACAAGGGUCGCGGGGAGUGCUUGAGCCAAUCCCAGCUGUCAUCGGGCAGGAGGCAAGGUACACCCUGAACUGGUUGCCAGCCAAUUGCACAUUGAGCCAAACAGCCACGCUCACAAUCACACCAACGGGGCAAAUUAGAGUGUCUAAUUAAUAUUGCAUGUUUUUGGGAUGUGGGAGGAAACUGGAGUGCCUGGAGAAAACCCACAUAGGCACGGGGAGAACAUGCAAAUUCCACACAGACAGGUCUGGGAUUGAACCCCAGGACCUCAGAACUGUGAGGCCAAUGCUUUCCCGCUGAGCCGCCGUCCUGCCAAAGUAUAAAUACUGUUUACGUAUUUAAUCAUGUUGGUCAUUCAGUUACAUAUAGAUGAAAAUUACCAGGGUGUAUACGGGGGGUGGGUGGUGGUUGUGGAGGGGAUGGAUGUCCUACGUCGCGGUUUUUCACAUUUCGUGGGGGGUUCUGGUCCCCAUUAGCUGCAAAAAAACAAGGGAUUACUGUGCUCAGAGAAACCACACAGGCAUGUGGAGAACAUGCUAACCUCAAACUUGGGAGGCCAGAUUUGAACAAGAGUCCUAAAUGUGCUAAACAGUUGCCCAUCCUACAGGAUGUGAUGUCAGCAUAACAACGUAAAUCAUGUGUCAACCAGACCAGGAGAUUUUCAUCCAUGGUUUUAUCGCAAGCAGACUUAUUAUAAUGGUCUUCAGAUUGAACGCUCUCAAAAAUGACAAAACAGGUUCAGCUCAUUCAGAAUGUUGCAGUUCAGAUUCUAAACAGGACAGAGGAUCAGAACAUACUGUAUUUCUCCAAUUCUAAAGUUUCUACACUGGAUCUCAGUCAACUUGAGAAAUCUACUCCAGGUUUUUAAACCACUAAAUGGUUUAGGUCCUGAACACAUUCAAGACCAAUCUAAUGGAAAAGAGAACUACUAACUAAGAUCAGAUAACAGAAAAGGAAAUAUGGUGAAGUAGCUUUUAGUUGCUAAAAUUAUUUUUCCCUAUGCUUUUUAGAGCACUUCCACUCUUGAAUAUUUCCUGCACUGUAUACUUUGUUUUUUCAAUUUUCAAGUGUUACAGUUUUUAAAUAUUUCAAUACUUUUUGUUUUAUUUUUCAGUUUAUUUUGGUAAUGCUUUUGAUUAUGUGGGGCACAGUGAGUUACCAAGUUUGCCAGCAUAGUUACCUUAUUCGUGUAGUUAAAAAAUACCCCUGUCACUCCCAGCCCCAGAGUACCGUAGUUGAAGAUAACGUCAGUGUUGAUUUUGGGUCAUUUAACAGCAAUAACUAAUGCUGUGGCGACCCCUAACGGGACAGGCCAAAAGAAAAAGAAGAACUACAGUAAGUCACUCUUAACACAGCUGCAUUAUGUAUUCAAUGCUCAUCAACACAUUGUAGGAUUUGUCUGUUUAAAGUGCCUUGGUAUUGUGAUGUGUCUUUUCAGACAUGGUUUCGAAAUAAACGCAGUACAUAUCCAUCCAUCCAUUUUGUGAAUUGCUAAUCAUCACAAGGGUCACAAGAGUACUCUAGCCUAUAUCAGCUGUCAUCAAGUAGGAGGCGGAGUACAGCCUGAACUGGUUGCCAGCCAAUCACAGGGUACAUGAAGACAGACAACAGUCACACUCAGAAUCACACCAAGGGCCAAUUUGGAGCCUCCAAUCAAUGCAUGUUUUUGAGAUGGCGGAGGAAACCGGAGUGCCCAGAGAAAGCCUACACAGGCAUGUGGAGAACAUGCAAAUGCCACAAAGCUUUCAGAGUUGUUUGUUUUCUUUGAAGAGACACCUCAGGGAGCUGCCUCUUUAGCCCAGGUCCAUAAAGCUGUACUGCAUGAUGGGAGGACAGUGGCUGUUAAGGUCCAACACCCUAAAGUCCAAAGACAAAGCUCCAAGGACAUAUUGGUGAUGGAGGUGCUGCUAAGAGGGGUCCAUUGGCUAUUCCCUGACUUGACCUUUAUGUGGUUAGUAGAAGAGGCCAAGAAAAACAUGCCAUUGGAGCUGAACUUCCUUAAUGAAGGACACAAUUCAGAAAUUGUAUCAAAACUGCUGGCCCACUUCACAUUUCUCAAGGUCCCCAUUAUCCACUGGGACUUGUCUACGAAGAGGGUUCUGACCAUGGAGUUUGUUGAGGGAGGCCAAGUCAAUGACCGGGAGUACAUGAAGGCACAUGGCAUCAACGUCAACGAGAUUUCAGAAAACCUGGGGAAAAUGUACAGUGAAAUGAUCUUCACCCACGGCUUUGUUCAUUGUGACCCCCACCCUGGCAAUGUGUUGGUUCGAAAGUGUCCAAACAGCAAGAAGACAGAGAUCAUCCUACUCGAUCAUGGACUAUAUCAGAUUCUACAAACAGACUUCAGGAUAAACUACUGCCAGCUCUGGCAGGCUCUGAUUCAACAGGACAUGUCUGGGGUUGAGUGUUACAGUCGCAAACUGGGAGCUGGAGAUCUGUACCCACUAUUUGCUUGUGUACUCACUGCACGUUCUUGGGCUGCCGUCAACUCUGGCAUCAGUUCCGUGCCUGUCACACUCUCAGAGGAUGUCGAGAUACGGACCAACGCAGCGCUUUACCUGCCCCAGAUCAACGACUUGUUGAACAGAGUUCCCCGGCAGAUGUUGCUGCUAUUAAAAACCAACGACCUAUUGAGGGGAAUUGAAACCACUCUACAGACCAGAGCUUCAUCAUCCUCCUUCAUCAACAUGUCACGCUGCUGUAUACGUGCUUUGGCAAGGGGGCCCCAAUUCGUAUCAUGCUUCUGGAAGGAAUUCUGCUCCCUUAUCGGGGCAACGGCAAGUCUAACUUCGGACCAGCAUCCAGAGUCCAAUCGUCAGAUAGAGAUGAUCAUCAACCAGGAUAUGGAGACUGGUCUACCCUGCUUGGCUUCACGCGACCACAGCACCUGGAGCCGCCACCUCGGAUGGGUGGAAUACGCCCAUAAUUCGCUGCCAUCCGUAUCAACAGGUAUGGCUCCCUUCUACGUUGUCCAUGGAUACCGCCCUUCUCUCUUCCCAUCCAUAGGUGCUGAGUCCCCGGUACCAUUUGCAUUGGCGGGUGUGAGAUGCUGCAAGCGGACCUGGGAUCUAACCAAAAGGAUGCUGUUGAGAAUGGGUAGCACCUACAAGACCGCGGCGGAUUGCAACAGGAGGAGGGCACUGACAUAAGAGGUGGGACAACGCAUCUGGUUAUCCACCUAGGAUGGAGUCUCGCAAGCUAGCUCCCAGACACAAAAGGAGUAAAAGUCAAUCCAGCAGGAGACGUCUACAAAUCACACUGACGGAGUUUUUCAACCUCUGGAGACUUAGUAUGUAUGAGUUGUUUCUAUGGUUGAAAGGCUCUCUGUUCAGACUAGACUU